rnacentral:rRNA from 1 species
UACGAAGGGGCUAGCGUUGCUCGGAAUCACUGGGCGUAAAGGGUGCGUAGGCGGGUCUUUAAGUCAGGGGUGAAAUCCUGGAGCUCAACUCCAGAACUGCCUUUGAUACUGAAGAUCUUGAGUUCGGGAGAGGUGAGUGGAACUGCGAGUGUAGAGGUGAAAUUCGUAGAUAUUCGCAAGAACACCAGUGGCGAAGGCGGCUCACUGGCCCGAUACUGACGCUGAUGGCACGAAAGCGUUGGGGAGCAAACAGG